rnacentral:rRNA from 1 species
GAUGAACGCUGGCGGCGUGCCUAAUACAUGCAAGUCGAGCGAACAGAUGAGGAGCUUGCUCCUCUGACGUUAGCGGCGGACGGGUGAGUAACACGUGGAUAACCUACCUAUAAGACUGGGAUAACUUCGGGAAACCGGAGCUAAUACCGGAUAAUAUAUUGAACCGCAUGGUUCAAUAGUGAAAGACGGUUUUGCUGUCACUUAUAGAUGGAUCCGCGCCGCAUUAGCUAGUUGGUAAGGUAACGGCUUACCAAGGCGACGAUGCGUAGCCGACCUGAGAGGGUGAUCGGCCACACUGGAACUGAGACACGGUCCAGUCUCCUACGGGAGGCAGCAGUAGGGAAUCUUCCGCAAUGGGCGAAAGCUUGACGGAGCAACGCCGCGUGAGUGAUGAAGGUCUUCGGAUCGUAAAACUCUGUUAUUAGGGAAGAACAAAUGUGUAAGUAACUAUGCACGUCUUGACGGUACCUAAUCAGAAAGCCACGGCUAACUACGUG